AAUUCAUUUUAAAGCAUUACGUGAUUUAAAAUGGAAAAACCACGAGAUCAUAAAGUCUCACUUUCUGCUUUUCAGGGCAAAAAGUACCUGGUCAGCCACAUCACAUCCAUUUCAUUAAACUUCACUUUUCAGCAGAGUCUGUCUACAGUGUUUAGAAACAUGACGUUCAGCCCCAGGAGCAUCAGUGAGGGUCAUGGACGUCUCACAGAUACAGAAUUAAUUGAUCUGAACAAAUGCUGCCGCACUGGGACCGACUGUACCGAUCUUCAGCCGCACUCGGCUCACCUACACCACGCUGAAUUAAGACUGGAAUCUGGAUGAACUCAGGAUGCUGCUGAUGUUUGGGAUCCUGUUCUUGAUUACAGGAGCUGUUGUGGGUUCUCUGUACCAGGAUCCUGCUGUCUGUACAUUUACCCUCGAUGAUCAGAAUGUUUCAUGUUAUGCUGCUCUUGGACAACGACUUCACCUGCAUCUUCCUCAGAACCUGCCCAGGAAUCCUAGUUUAAACUAAAGAAGAUCAACAAGCCAUCUGAUAAAAUAAUAUUAGAUUAUAGAACAUACGUAAAGAAUUCAGCUGUAAAUGUACCAGGA